rnacentral:rRNA from 1 species
GUAGGUGGCAAGCGUUGUCCGGAAUUAUGGGCGUAAAGCGCGCGCAGGCGGGGGGUUUUUAAGUCUGAUGUGAAAGCCCACGGGCUCAACCGUGGAGGGUCAUUGGAAACUGGAGAACUUGAGUACAGAAGAGGAAAGCGGAAUUCCACGUGUAGCGGUGAAAUGCGUAGAGAUGUGGAGGAACACCAGUGGCGAAGGCGGCUUUCUGGUCUGUAACUGACGCUGAGGCGCGAAAGCGUGGGGAGCAAACAGGAUUAGAUACCCUGGUAGUCCACGCCGUAAACGAUGAGUGCUAAGUGUUAGGGGGGUUUCCGCCCCUUAGUGCUGCAGCUAACGCAUUAAGCACUCCGCCUGGGGAGUACGGCCGCAAGGCUGA